GAUGAACGCUGGCGGCGUGCCUAAUACAUGCAAGUCGAGCGAACAGACGAGGAGCUUGCUCCUCUGACGUUAGCGGCGGACGGGUGAGUAACACGUGGAUAACCUACCUAUAAUACUGGGAUAACUUCGGGAAACCGGAGCUAAUACCGUAUAAUAUAUUGAACCGCAUGGUUCAAUAGUUAAAUACGGUUUUGCUGUCACUUAUAGAUGGAUCCGCUCCGCAUUAGCUAGUUGGUAAGGUAACGGCUUACCAAGGCAACGAUGCGUAGACGACCUGAGAGGGUGAUCGGCCACACGGGAACUGAGACACGGUACAGAGUCCUACGGGAGGCAGCAGUAGGGAAUCUUACGCAAUGGGCGAAAGCUUGACGGAGGAACGCCGCGUGAGUGAUGAAGGUCUUCGGAUCGUAAAACUCUGUUAUUAGGGAAGAAAAAAUGUGUAAGUAAAUAUGCACGUAUUGACGGUAACUAAUAAGAAAGCCACGGCUAACUACGUG
rnacentral:rRNA from 1 species